UUUAAACGUGUAAAAAUAAAAAAUUGAAAAGAAAAGCCUGGAAAAAAAAUGGUAGGGAAUAGACACGUAAUGCUGUCGACAAGGCAGUAACCAGUUAGUUUCCCUUCCAUCGAAGCUCUUUGUAUUCUCACCAAAGAAAUUCGGAAUUAAGAAUUCCCCUUUUCUUCCUACAACCGCCUGUCCCCUCUUCUUUACUCUUAAUUUUCCUAUUAUUAUUCCUAAUUCUUUUGAUUUUCUAACUACCCCUAAAUAACUGGGAAAAAAUAUCCCUUCAAGAUAAGAUUUUUCCUAAGUUUUUACACUUAUUAAUGAAUUUAAACACUUCCCAGAUAAAAAUUAUUUGGUGGGUUUGAGUUCAACUUCAAUUCUGUUUUUGGGAUUUUUUUUAUUUGAUUAAUUUGAUGGAAAACGGUAUUGUUCUGGAAAACGGUGUUUGUCACAAGGAUACUGGUAAUGGAGGACAAGAUGUCUGGAAUUGUGAGAAUGGAGUCUCUUCACCUUCUUCUGCUGAUCAUCUUGUUGUUAUGGUUCAUGGCAUUCUUGGCAGUGCUGCUGAUUGGAAGUUUGGAGCGGAGCAGUUUGUUAAAAUGCUCCCAGAUAAAGUAUAUGUUCAUUGCAGUGAAAAAAAUGGGGCUACAUUGACGCUAGAUGGUGUAGACGUCAUGGCUCAAAGAUUGGCAGCAGAGGUGUUGGAGAUCAUUAAACAAAAGCCCAAUCUAAGGAAAAUUUCGAUUGUUGCACAUUCUGUUGGUGGUUUGGUUGCAAGAUAUGCAAUUGGUAUUCUGUAUCAACCUCCGAAAGGUGUUAAUGUGGAGGAUUCAUCCACUAUAAAUUCUAAUGAGAAUGCAAGAGGUACCAUUGGUGGUCUUGAAGCAGUGAACUUUAUUACUGUAGCUACUCCUCAUCUUGGUUCACGUGGUAAUAAGCAGGUACCAUUCCUCUUUGGUGUGACUGCUAUUGAAAAAGUUGCUGGCCUUGUGAUUCAUUGGAUAUUUAGAAAAACAGGUAGACAUCUUUUCUUGACUGAUGGAGAUGCUGAAGGGAAGCCUCCAUUGCUUAAACGAAUGGUGGAAGACAAUAGUGAAUAUCGUUUCAUAUCAGCUUUGCGGGCAUUCAGACGUAGAGUGGCAUAUUCAAAUGUUGGAUAUGAUCAUAUUGUGGGCUGGAGAACAUCUUGUAUCAGACGUAUGAGUGAAUUACCUAAGUGGGAAGAUUCACUUAAUGAGAAAUACCCUCAUAUAGUCUAUGAGGAGUUUUGCGAAGCACGUGAACCUAAUCAAACUGCAUCAGAGGAAGACCAAUGCUGUGACAAAAUAGAAGGUUCAUGAAGCUCUGAUUUGAAAUAGGAACUUGUGACAGGUUUAUCUCGUGUUCCAUGGGAGAAGGUUGAUGUCAGCUUCCACAGCAGUAGACUGAGGUUUGCUGCCCAUAGCGUGAUACAGGUAAAAGAACAUUACAUGCACGCAGAAGGUGCAGAUGUUAUCCAGCAUAUGAUCGACCAUUUUGUCAUCUAAGUGGUUUUGGAUGUUACGCCUACAUCAAGUUGUAUGUUUCUUCAAAUUCCAUUAAUUCGUGCAGCUGAUUUGCCUCUUGCAUUAAACGAUAGACAUUCCAAUGGAUUUUCCUGUGGGAAAUUUACUGCUUUGUCGAAUCUUGGCUGGUGCAGAUCCCUUUGGAGGUGGCCAAUAUAUUUAUAUGUUGAUAAUUGGGACCUAUUCUUGUUUAUGCUUAAAUUUUGUUGAUUCAUUAUGGUUCAAUUGUAAAUGAAUGUUACAUAUAAUAUACUAAGCAUAAAGGGAAACUCAAUUUGUAUCUGCUGCAACAAUUCAAUGGAUUAAAAAAGUUCAAUCGAAUUUUUUUUUU